GGGCUAGCCCGACCCUGGCGCUGCCAAGACCUCGAAGCCCCCUCCCAACACACCCGCUCUCCCGCCCUGGGCAGAUCCCCCGGCGUCUCCCUUCACCGGGGAGAGCCCUGCAGGGCCGGCGGAGAGACGGACAGACGGAUGGGGAACGCACACGGAGGGAAACUUGUUCCUCCGGGUCUCCUGUCAGACACCCCGGACCUCCCCUGGGCGCCAGCUCCUCGGCCCCAACGGGUCCAGAAACAAGCCGGAUUUUUUUUCUCUCUUCUUUCUGGAAAUUGGCGUUGGUGUGUGUUUCCCUACCUCCCUCUUCCCCCCUCCCACUCCCCCCUUUUUUUUUGAGACAUGGCCCGGGCAGUGACUCCUGGAAGAGGAACAAGUGUGGGAAAAGAGAGAGGAAACCGGAGCUAAAUGACAGGAUGCAGGCGACUUGAGACACAAAAAGAGGAGCGUUUCUCUCGGAUCAAGGCAGUGCCUCGCCGCUUUCCUUUCUCCAAGACGGACUGAGGAUUUUACAGCUCUGGGGGGAAAACAGAGCGCCGCCCCAGGGCGAAUCUCCAACAAUCCGG
rnacentral:lncRNA from 1 species